rnacentral:lncRNA from 1 species
CGAACACCCUGAUAAUCGAUCUUUUUUCAUAGGUUUAAAUGGGAUAACAAUCGAUAUAUCGCAAUUCACGCCACGCCACUGAAUUUCGUCUGUCUCAAAUGCAAAUCCGAUCAGAAGGUUAUCGAGAGGAAAAUUCGUCUUCGCGCAGAGUGAAAUCAUAAGCGUGGGCUCUGACACGAGCGAUUGUGAAUUGAUUCAAUAGACGUAAGCCAGAAUUUAAAAUCCACAAAAAUCGCGUCCCGUAAAGACUGGGUAAACAUGGAAAACAGGCAAGGCCUACAUACUCACAUUUGGGCGAGAAUCACUGGAGGUGGCCCCAAUCAAUCGCGCCAUGUACCGUGCGUUGAGCCUCAUUUUAAUUGUCGGUGCUGUGAGACUCGUUGUCUCACCUGACUCACAGUCGAAGUCAAAGCAAGCCGUUGUCUCACCUGACUCACGGUCAGAAUCAAAGCCAGAAGAAAGCGUGAAGCCAGAAGAAGGCACACAGCCAAAAGAACACGUAGAGGAACAGGAACCGAUAGAGCUACUGCCGGAAUGGUCUGGAACGAAACAGCACACUAAGUGCAAAAACCAAUUCGGCUUCAUUAUGAAGCCUGCAAGGGGAGUAGUCUACAUCGCACACCCUUACUGGUCCAAGGAAAAGGGGGAAUGGCGUUGCAUGUUGAACCGCAAUGAAUUGAGACCGCUCUUCAGGCAGCUUGGACUUAACUUUGAUGCAUUUGAGAGCGAGCAUCUACAGACGUACGACGGUAGGUACGGGAGAAAGUGGUUGAAGAAGCAUGGCGUCGUAGUAGGCCGUCCAAAUUUUGACAUCGCAAAAAUGGAGAAGGAAAUAAAAAAGGAGUUGGGGGGCUCCACGAGUGAGUCCGGUGGGUGGCUCAGCGGCAGACGCCACGGAUCUUCGAGCUCCAUGGCCGCGACCUCCGCGGGCAACUCGAUGAGAGUCGGCUCCUCGAGUUCCUGGUUCAAAAGCAAGAGAACCGGUGAGCGACCGGGAACCUCGGAGGCGCCGAGCAGGCAAUCCUCCAUCGGCUCCGAUACUAGUGAAGGAAGCAAGACGUCCAACCCGUCUAAAAAGUGGUGGUCAUUCAAGAAACAGAAGGCGGAUUCGCCCGUGAAAGGAGAUGUAUCCAAGGGAGGCGACGGUAGCUUGGGCGCCUCGAAGGGUUCGUCUGAGGGAUCGUCCAACCGGUCUGGGAACCCGACCCCCGAGGCGCUGAGCAGACAGAACUCAGCGGGCUCGGAUUCCUCCUUCGAGUGGGCUCAAGAAGGAGGUGCGCCGAGGAGGCAAAACUCAAUGAGCUCGGAUUCGUCCUUUGAGUGGGCGCAAGGGGGUGGUGCGCCGAGCAGGGAUGGCAGCUUCAGGGAAACUGGAUCUGGUAGAGGAGGCAACUUGACGGAAGGAUCGAGUGGUAGAGGCAACUUGGACAGAGCUGAAUCUAGCAUGGCAGCCAGUGAGAGGAAACCUGAAGCUACGGAAGGGCAAACCUUCCAGAAGGAGCAGAAAGAGUGCACGAAUCACUGCAACACGGUUCAGGGCUACAUCGUCAUAAAGCCCGGCUUCUCCCGCAUCGCCAUCACCAAAGGCGCCCUGUCCGACUACGGGAAGACAUGCAAGUGCGGGUUGAAUCUCGCCGAUACCAAAGCAUUUUUAGAGGGACGUGGUUUUGAAGCCUCCGAGUUCUUCGACGCUUUUGCAGAGGAUCCUGAGGGCGUGGCGGGCAGGCGCUGGUUGACUAGCAAAGGGAUCACGGUCGAUUUCCGCAAGACCUUGGACGAAAGGUUCAAGGAGCAGGAUGCUCUGAGCGCUGCGGGGUGAUUAUUGAAACUGAUAGACAAAGCUAUUGACAAAAGAGAUAUAGAGAGUAUGGAGCUAUCCUAUUGGUUGAAAUGGGUGGCUCCUAAAGGCUAAGGGAGAAAAUGAUGGACUAACUAUUAGUCCAGGCGCCUGGUAAGUCUACCUGGAAUUUUGGGUACACAGCGAUUUUUUUGGCUUACUUUAUGUUUUUUGGGUCGCUGAAUCCGAAUCUGAAGUUUUCUACCGCGUAUCUGGUGAGCAUUUUCCGCCAUUUUGAAAAAAUGGCCUAAAAAGGCCUUUUUUUGCGGUUUUUUUUAUGUAGCGGCUACGCAUGAGAAAAAAUCCCGUAUUUAGCUAAUGUUUUGAAUAGCUGACAAAAUUUGGAAGAAAAUGGUAUAUAAAUAUGUUAGGUUUGCUCAAAAAUUGAGGAACCUCGGAUUUCGGAACUUUGGAACGCUUCGGAGCUUAGCUGACCGCGGCGAGCCGGAUCACGCGUUAAGGGGUGCGCCGCGAAAACGUGAAUGGGCGCGAUGUUCACGAUGCUGUAUCUUCCUCAAUUUUUAAGCAAACCUAGCAUAUGUAUACACCAUUUUCUUCCAAAUUUUGUCAGCUAUUCAAAACAUUAGCUAAAUCCGGGAGUUUUUCUCAUGCGUAGCCGCUACAUAAAAAAACCGCAAAAAAAGGCCUUUUUAGGCCAUUUUUUCAAAAUGGCGGAAAAUGCUCACCAGAUACGCGGUAGGAAACUUCAGAUUCGGAUUCAGCGACCCAAAAAACAUAAAGUAAGCCAAAAAAAUCGCUGUGUACCCAAAAUUCCAGGUAGACUUACCAGGCGCCUGGACUAAUCGGGUCUUUCAUGGGUUGCCGUUAGUUUAAUCUAUUGCCUACCUCCUUUGUCCAUUGCAACCACUUGCUUCCACCAAUAGGAUCCCUCCAUAUCUCUUUUGUCUUGUUUGUCUAUCACUUUGUCUAUAAAUUUCAAUAAUCGGUCCCCUGGUGAAAUAACGCCCGCGGAGUGCACAACGGUGCGGUUGCAACUUGGGUUGCACCGGACAGCAUAUAUACUUAAAGGCAAAUUGAGGGGCUUGGAAGACAAGGCGCAUAAGUACAGUUUUAGAAAUUCGAGACUAGAAAUUAGGGCACAGCCGCAUCAGGUGCGUGCCAUAGCUCGUUAUGCCUCUAGGCAACCCGCAACUCGAUAAUGUUUAAAAUGAACGUUAUCAAUAAAUGUUAUAAAUGUUAAAUGUUUUAGUUGUAUGUAUAUAAAUA